rnacentral:rRNA from 1 species
GAUCCUGGCUCAGAUUGAACGCUGGCGGCAGGCCUAACACAUGCAAGUCGAACGGUAACAGAAAGCAGCUUGCUGCUUUGCUGACGAGUGGCGGACGGGUGAGUAAUGUCUGGGAAACUGCCUGAUGGAGGGGGAUAACUACUGGAAACGGUAGCUAAUACCGCAUAACGUCGCAAGACCAAAGAGGGGGACCCUUCGGGCCUCUUGCCAUCGGAUGUGCCCAGAUGGGAUUAGCUUUG